GGAAGGGUGGCCGAGCGGUUGAUGGCGCUGGUCUUGAAAACCAGUGUGCCUUCACGGGCACCGGGGGUUCAAAUCCCUCCCCUUCCG
rnacentral:tRNA from 1 species